ensembl:snRNA U6 U6 spliceosomal RNA
GUGCUGGCUUCAGCAGCACAUAUACUAUAAUUGGAAUGACAAAGAGAAUAUUAGCAUGGCCCCUGUGCAAGGAUGACACAAAUUCGUGAAGUGUUCUAUAUAUAA